CUUCUACCCUGCGGAGAUCACCCUGUCCUGGCAGCGUGACGGGCAGGACCUGACCCAGGACACAGAACUUGUGGAGACCAGGCCUGCAGGGGACGGGAACUUCCAGAAGUGGGCGGCUGUGGUGGUGCCUUCUGGAGAGGAGCAGAGAUACACAUGCCGUGUGCAGCAUGAGGGGCUGGCUGAGCCCGUCACCCUGAGAUGGGAGCCGCCUCCUGAGUCCCCCAUCCUCACUGUGGGCAUCAUUGCUGGCCUGCUUCUCCUUGGAGCUGUGGUGGUUGGACUUGUGAUCUGGAGGAAGAAGCACUCAGCGUGAAACAGCUGCCUUGUAGGGGACAGAAUGAUGCAAGAUUUGUUCCUGUCCCACUGCCAUUGUGACUUCAGGAAACUCUUACUUCUCUUUCUGCAAAGGGCAUCUGAGUGUGUCUGUGUUC